rnacentral:rRNA from 1 species
UCUCAGUUCGGAUUGGAGUCUGNAACCCGACUCCAUGAAGCUGGAUUCGCUAGUAAUCGCGCAUCAGCCACGGCGCGGUGAAUACGUUCCCGGGUCUUGUACACACCGCCCGUCAAGCCAUGGGAGCCGGGGGUACCUGAAGUGCGUAACCGCGAGGAGCGCCCUAGGGUAAAACUGGUGACUGGGGCUAAGUCGUAACAAGGUACC